UAGCGUGUGUUUGAAUCUGCAUAUGCGCAUUUGGACAGACAGGAUACCCGUUACUUUCAGUCAAUCAGCACAAAUGAAAACAAACGAGCCAGAGAGGACGGUUAACCUGAAGGUCCCCGGAGACGCUGCUCGUGCUGCACGGUCGGGUUACUUCAGUUACAACGUCAACACUCACUCUGUGAAAAUGAUCCAAAGAAAGCUGGGCUAUUGUGGUGAUUUUGUGGUGUGUCCUGAGUCCACAACAAAUUGGUGCGGUGACCCGGAUCAAGAGAUCAGAUGCUGCAGACCACCGGGGAGCUUCUCUACGUUUCCUCAAGAUCACAGGCACAUCUGAGCUGCAAUCCGGAGGCGCCAUGGACCCACGAGCAAUCGCAGUCAUUCAAGUUAAUCCUUGAUAUUCCACCACCCGCGUCCCAGAAGCGUGCGUGAAGUGGUGCUCCACUCCGCGUAAACGAUACGAGAGCCACGGGGCGUUCGGACAGCUGGGCAGAAAGUGAAACAGAGAGAGCAUCCAGUCAAUUUACCAAAAUACAUCCCGCAACAUCAUAAACAUCUCCUCUACAACACCAUGGACGACGGGAAAUUCAUGUUGGAGGUGAAAAACAUAAUAGACACCAUAGAUCCUUUUUAUAAGGACAAUGCCAGAAAAGAGAAGGCAUGGAGUUUAAUUACAGGAGUGCUUGGAGUGGAAGGUAGAUACUAGCUUAAU